GAGGAAGUAAUUUAGUUAUUAGGGGAGAUUGAAGGAAUAUGGUUUGGGGGCAUAAGAACUGCAGUAAGCAGAUUCAAGGGGAGUGCAGAAGUUGAAGGAAGGCCAGCAAAGUACUUCAAGCCCUGACGUGGACUGAGGCACAUUCACCAGCAUGUAGGUGUCAGGGAAGCCUUCCCACUCUAGAAGUAACCGGAGAAAAAGCAGCCCAGAAGCUGCACACGCAGCCGAACAGAAGAAAACUAAGCCCAAAGGUGUUGAAACGAAUGCACAGACAGGUGAAGUGUCUUCCCUGAGGUUACUCAGGAAGUCUCUGCUAGACCUAGGGAUGGAAACCAAAACUCCUGAGUUUGAAGCCUUAUCUGCUGUUGAUGAAGUUUGAUUGGGAAAUAUCACAAGGCAUGGAUGAAAGCUGUAAUCGUAUUGAUCAAGGUGUUAUCUAGUCACAGGCUGUGUAAAAAUCAUGUGUAUAAACUUGGAACGUCUUCAGCCAAUCCAGAAUCUCAGCUGGCAGGAUGGUAUGAUCAAUAUGUAAAGGGAAACCAGCAUCGUGCAGCUGACUUUGGUGCUGAAUUUGGCACAACUAUUUUGCUAUUGCUUGGGUCAGCUCACACUGCAAUCCCAUUUGGAUUUAAUUGAAACAAGAACCAAAAAAGGGCUUUCGCGUGUGUUCUUUAUUUCAUGCUGCCACAUUGUGUAAAACUGAAUAGCAAAUGAAAUGACUCCCAAAUCACUUUUCACUAUCGAAUUUGUGUUCUGUGAACUGAGAUGAACUAACUACACAGUAACUUUGUUUGCAUAUUUUUUUAAAUGUGAGACAUUUCUUUCUAAACUGCAGUGUUGAGAUGGAUCAUAAAGCAUGCCUAAUAGAUACAUGUAUCUCUUAACCAGCUUAAUUAAGGAGGGAGGCAACUUUAAAAUAGCUUUGUUAAAUAGAUAUGCUGCUUGGCAUAAAUACAGUACAUAUAAAAUCCAAGCACCCACAAGCCCAUAUGAUUUCUAGCUAGAUCUAGAGUAGAGAUGAGGCUGACACAGACAGCCCAGUGAUGGAAGUGAUACAAAAAUUAGAACAGAAUAAAGAAAUCCCGCUCUGGAUCCUGACUUCCCCAAAGUAUGGUGUGUGUUUCUAUAUCAAUCUAAUCUGUAGUAGCUAUGGAUUUUAAAUAUUUGGGCAGACUCCAUCACCCUUAUUCAAAUAGAAUAGUACCUUAUUCUGUAAAAAAUCAGAUUGAUUUUUCAAUGGGAUUAUUUGUGGAGUGAAGCACUAUUCACUGAAUAAAGGCAAGAGAAUCUGGAUCUUGGAAAUUGCAUCGAAAACAGGACAUCUAUGGCAUUAACAUUGUCAGGAGGAACACCAUGCCUGGUGACACAUUAAAGAAAGGAACAUGUACCUUUAGCAUGUUUCCCUCUUUACCACUUUCAGCCAGAGACACUUUAUUGUGCUUUUAUGGGAGUUUAAAUUUGACAUGGUUUAUUUUAUAGACGUGUUAUGUAUCCCUCUGAAGGCUUCAUUGUGUCCAUGAAGCCUUCCUAGAAGUGAGAAGUCCUACAAUAAUUGUCUCCUUUGGGCUUCUCAUUGGGUCCUCUAUACUUUUUUUUUUUUUUAAUAAUAUUCCAAAGUGCCUCACCUGUUCUCUAUGGUCCUUUACCUGAAAUUCAAAACAUUUAGUAAAGA